AGAGAAGCUAUUCGUAGAAUGCGAAAGGGAAGGGCGACGGGGCCCGAUGAGAUUCCGGUGGAUUUUUGGAAGUUUAUAGGUAAGGUUGGUUUAAGGUGGUUGAUUGAUUUGUUUAACGACAUUUUCAAGACGGCAAGGAUGCCGGAUGCUUGGAGGUGGAGUACUAUGAUUUCGUUAUAUAAAAAUAAGGAAGACAUCUAGAGUUGCACUAACUAUAGAGGUAUCAAGCUGUUGAGUCAUACUAUGAAGAUUUGGGAGAGGUUAGUUGAGCUGAGAUUGAGGAGGAUCGUGUCCAUUUCGGAGAAUCAGUUUGGUUUUAUGCCUGGUCGCUCGACGACAAAGGCAAUCCACCUGGUGAGGAGAUUGGUGGAGCAGUAUAGGGAAAGGAAGAAGGAUUUGCAUAUGGUGUUCAUCGGCAAUCCACCUGGUGAGGAGAUUGGUGGAGCAGUAUAGGGAAAGGAAGAAGGAUUUGCAUAUGGUGUUCAUCGACUUGGAGAAGGCUUAUGACAAACUUCCGAGAAAGGUUCUGUGGAGAUGUUUAGAGGCCAAAGGGGUUCCGGUGGCGUAUAUCAGAGCUAUUAAGGACAUGUACGAUGGAGGGAAGACUCAGGUGAGAACGGCGACAGGAGACUCGGAGCAUUUUUCGGUCGAGGCAGGGUUCGACUCUUAGUCCGUUCCUGCUUGCGUUGGUGAUAGACGUGUUGACACGGAGUAUUCAGGGGGAAGUGCCGUGGUGUAUGUUGUUCACUGACGAUGUAGUGCUGAUUGAUGAGACGCGAGCGGGUGUGAAUGAAAGAUUGGAGGUUUGGAGGCAAACCCUUGAAUCUAAGGGGUUCAGGUUGAGUA
rnacentral:lncRNA from 1 species